AUGGAUUAUAAAAUUGUGGCACCAAGUCUUGAUGGCAGAAAGGGUGGAUUGUUACUAGUCUGGAAGAAGGAGGUUAGGAUCUACUCCCGGACUACUACCUUUAGUUGCAUUGAUGUGGCGGUGGAGGAACUGGAUGGGAAAGAGUGGAGGUUAUCAUGUGUGUACGGCGAGCCAAACUGGGAUAAUAAGGAGAGAACGUAUCAACUCCUUCGUGAUUUGCAUGCUCAGUCUAGACUUCCAUGGGUUGCGAUUGGUGAUUUUAACGAGAUCUUAUUCUCGUCUGAAAAGGAAGGAGGAGCACCACGACAACAAGUUCGGCUUCAGGCAUUCCAGGAUGCACUCUCAGAUUGCUCACUAGAAGAUAUUGGCUACCAUGGUGACAAAUUCACGUUCUUUAGAGGAGGAUUGAGGGAACGGCUGGACCGGGCUGUUUCGAACGCUGAAUGGAUGAAACUACACCCAUUGUGUGGGCUGUCUAACCUUGAUAUGGGCAAGUCUGAUCACCGGCCAAUUUGUCUGGAUACAGAUUACUUGGCAGGGGUAGCUGCACCGCGAACUCGAGAUGGCCGGAAGUUUGAGGCGCGAUGGUUGGCAGAAGAGGCUGUAGAGGAGGUUGUGAAAACAGCUUGGCAGAAAGCAGUAGUUCGGGGUCUAUGCCCAACAGCUAGCGAGAAACUUGCGGCAGUACACAGAGAUCUUCAUAUGUGGGAUCGAAAGGUUUUGAAGGGGCCGCGUAAUCGUCUGAAGUCGGCUCAGAAAGAGUUAGAAGAACUAAUGCGCGCGCCAUAG
rnacentral:rRNA from 1 species